AUUGAACGCUGGCGGCAGGCCUAACACAUGCAAGUCGAGCGGAUGAAGGGAGCUUGCUCCUGGAUUCAGCGGCGGACGGGUGAGUAAUGCCUAGGAAUCUGCCUGGUAGUGGGGGAUAACGUCCGGAAACGGGCGCUAAUACCGCAUACGUCCUGAGGGAGAAAGUGGGGGAUCUUCGGACCUCACGCUAUCAGAUGAGCCUAGGUCGGAUUAGCUAGUUGGUGGGGUAAAGGCCUACCAAGGCGACGAUCCGUAACUGGUCUGAGAGGAUGAGCAGUCACAGUGGAACUGAUCCCACGUCCGACAUGCUAGGGAGGGUGGUAGAUGAGAAUAGUGGACACUGGGCAAACUCCUGUCCCCACCAUUCCGCGUGUGAGAAAAAGGUCUACUAUUUUAAAAGCAUUUGAAGUUGAUAAUGAAGUCACGAAGUUUACUCUUUGCUGUUUUUCCGUAUCCAACAGAAUAGGCCCCGGCUAGCAUCGUGCCAUCAGCCGAGGGAAUAAUCGGAAGGUCACAGGUCUAAC
rnacentral:rRNA from 1 species